rnacentral:rRNA from 1 species
AGUGAACGCUGGCGGUAGGCCUAACACAUGCAAGUCGAACGGCAGCACAGUAAGAGCUUGCUCUUACGGGUGGCGAGUGGCGGACGGGUGAGGAAUACAUCGGAAUCUACUUUUUCGUGGGGGAUAACGUAGGGAAACUUACGCUAAUACCGCAUACGACCUACGGGUGAAAGCAGGGGAUCUUCGGACCUUGCGCGAUUGAAUGAGCCGAUGUCGGAUUAGCUAGUUGGCGGGGUAAAGGCCCACCAAGGCGACGAUCCGUAGCUGGUCUGAGAGGAUGAUCAGCCACACUGGAACUAAGACACGGUCCAGACUCCUACGGGAGGCAGCAGUGGGGAAUAUUGGACAAUGGGCGCAAGCCUGAUCCAGCCAUACCGCGUGGGUGAAGAAGGCCUUCGGGUUGUAAAGCCCUUUUGUUGGGAAAGAAAGGCAGCAGGUUAAUACCCCGCUGUUCUGACGGUACCCAAAGAAUAAGCACCGGCUAACUUCGUG